rnacentral:rRNA from 1 species
UCCUACGGGAGGCAGCAGUGGGGAAUAUUGCGCAAUGGGGGAAACCCUGACGCAGCGACGCCCCGUGAGCGAAGAAGGCCUUAGGGUCGUAAAGCUCUGUUGUAAGGGACGAAGAGUCAUAUUGCGAACAGUGAUAUGAAUUGACGGUACCUAACCAGCAAGCCCCGGCUAACUACGUGCCAGCAGCCGCGGUAAUA